rnacentral:lncRNA from 1 species
AUGCUAUAUGGCUUCCUGGAGUUUACCCAAGCAGCCGGGCCCCUGGGCCCACGCACUGAAACGUUUCAACACACGGAGUCUCCCUGUUCAGGAUGGCGCCUCCAGACUGUCGAGAAUGGAUAUAACAACGACAGAGAGAGAAAGUUUCACUUAGCAAAAUACAUCGUCCAACCAUGGCGUCUGGGUGAGGAAAGUGAACGAGCAAGAGUGAGCUCCGGUUACCUGUGUGGAGGCAUUAAUUUCAGCGGCUACUGCCCAGAUUUUUAGAAGUUUGUCAGUUAUUACUGGUCAAGUUUUCGGUGGGUAUGAGCAACUAUCAACUACGAAGACUAUGGAACAACAACAACAACAAAAAGUCACAUCAAAUGUUUACUUCUUGCUCUGGAAGUUCAGAAAUCUUGUCUUACUUGUGAAACAGAGAAAGACAAAAUAAAAUUGACAAUGUAUAUAGUAUGGUUCUUUGU